rnacentral:pre_miRNA from 1 species
UACAAUAUUUUGACUUUUUGUUUUAUUUAAAUUUUUUUGCGAUUAAUAUUUUUAUUAUUACUAGAUGAUAAAUUAUAAAUAGUACUUUAUGUGUGACUAAUUUUUUUAAAUUUUUGUACAAUUUUUUUAAAUAAGACGAAUGAUCGAUGCAUUGAGCACAGAAAUCGA